rnacentral:rRNA from 1 species
CACUGGUCGAGUCGGCCUGCGCGGAAGAUGUAACGGGGCUAAACCAUGCACCGAAGCUGCGGCAGCGACACUAUGUGUUGUUGGGUAGGGGAGCGUUCUGUAAGCCUGCGAAGGUGACCUGUGAGGGUUGCUGGAGGUAUCAGAAGUGCGAAUGCUGACAUAAGUAACGAUAAAGCGGGUGAAAAGCCCGCUCGCCGGAAGACCAAGGGUUCCUGUCCAACGUUAAUCGGGGCAGGGUGAGUCGACCCCUAAGGCGAGGCCGAAAGGCGUAGUCGAUGGGAAACAGGUUAAUAUUCCUGUACUUGGUGUUACUGCGAAGGGGGGACGGAGAAGGCUAUGUUAGCCGGGCGACGGUUGUCCCGGUUUAAGCAUGUAGGCUGGUUGUCCAGGCAAAUCCGGAUAAUCAAGGCUGAGGUGUGAUGACGAGGCACUACGGUGCUGAAGUAACAAAUGCCCUGCUUCCAGGAAAAGCCUCUAAGCAUCAGGUAACAUCAAAUCGUACCCCAAACCGACACAGGUGGUCAGGUAGAGAAUACCAAGGCGCUUGAGAGAACUCGGGUGAAGGAACUAGGCAAAAUGGUGCCGUAACUUCGGGAGAAGGCACGCUGGUGUGUAGGUGAAGUCCCUGCGGAUGGAGCUGAGACCAGUCGAAGAUACCAGCUGGCUGCAACUGUUUAUUAAAAACACAGC